rnacentral:lncRNA from 1 species
CAAGGCAAUAAACAUAUCUAUCACCUCCAAACAUUUCCUGCUGCCCCAUCUCCCUUUUUGUGGUAAGAACACUUAACAUGAUUAACAUGAAAUCUACAUUCUUAAAAAAAUUUUAAGUAGGUAAUACAUUUUCGUUGACCAUAGGCACAAUGCUAUACAGCAGCUCUCUAGUACUUAUUCACCUAGUAUAACUGAAACUUUAUACCCAUUGAACAACAACUCUCCAUUUCCCUCUCCCCACAGCUCCUGGCAACAACUAUUCUAUUCUCUGUCCCUGUGAGUUUAUUUCAGAUUUCUCAUAUAAGUGGAGUCAUGCAGUAUUUGUCAUUCUGUGCCUGGCUAUGUCACUUAGCAUGAUGUCCUCCAGAUUCAUCCACCUUGUCACAUAUGCCAAGAUUUCCUUCUUUAUUGAGGCUGAAUAAUACUCCGUUGUAUGUAUAUAACAUAUUUUGUUCAUUCAUUGAUUCAUU